GGAUAACCCUCGGAAACGGGGGCUAAUACCGAAUAGGACUUCCGGCCGCAUGGCUGGGGGUGGAAAGUUUUUCGGCCUGGGAUGGGCUCGCGGCCUAUCAGCUUGUUGGUGGGGUGAUGGCCUACCAAGGCGACGACGGGUAGCCGGCCUGAGAGGGCGACCGGCCACACUGGGACUGAGACACGGCCCAGACUCCUACGGGAGGCAGCAGUGGGGAAUAUUGCACAAUGGGCGGAAGCCUGAUGCAGCGACGCCGCGUGAGGGAUGACGGCCUUCGGGUUGUAAACCUCUUUCAGCAGGGACGAAGCGCAAGUGACGGUACCUGCAGAAGAAGCGCCGGCCAACUACGUGCCAGCAGCCGCGGUAAGACGUAGGGCGCGAGCGUUGUCCGGAUUUAUUGGGCGUAAAGAGCUCGUAGGCGGCUUGUCGCGUCGACUGUGAAAACCCGCAGCUCAACUGCGGGCCUGCAGUCGAUACGGGCAGGCUAGAGUUCGGUAGGGGAGACUGGAAUUCCUGGUGUAGCGGUGAAAUGCGCAGAUAUCAGGAGGAACACCGGUGGCGAAGGCGGGUCUCUGGGCCGAUACUGACGCUGAGGAGCGAAAGCGUGGGGAGCGAACAGGAUUAGAUACCCUGGUAGUCCACGCUGUAAACGUUGGGCGCUAGGUGUGGGGGGCCUCUCCGGUUCCCUGUGCCGCAGCUAACGCAUUAAGCGCCCCGCCUGGGGAGUACGGCCGCAAGGCUAAAACUCAAA
rnacentral:rRNA from 1 species